rnacentral:rRNA from 1 species
UAAUACAGAGGGUGCAAGCGUUAAUCGGAAUUACUGGGCGUAAAGCGCGCGUAGGUGGUUCGUUAAGUUGGAUGUGAAAGCCCCGGGCUCAACCUGGGAACUGCAUUCAAAACUGACGAGCUAGAGUAUGGUAGAGGGUGGUGGAAUUUCCUGUGUAGCGGUGAAAUGCGUAGAUAUAGGAAGGAACACCAGUGGCGAAGGCGACCACCUGGACUGAUACUGACACUGAGGUGCGAAAGCGUGGGGAGCAAACAGGA